CCUUCGGGUGAGCGGCGGACGGGUGAGUAACGCGUGGGAACGUGCCCUUUGGUACGGGAUAACUGAGGGAAACUUCAGCUAAUACCGUAUGUGCCCUACGGGGGAAAGAUUUAUCGCCAUUGGAGCGGCCCGCGUUGGAUUAGGUAGUUGGUGAGGUAAAGGCUCACCAAGCCUACGAUCCAUAGCUGGUCUGAGAGGAUGAUCAGCCACACUGGGACUGAGACACGGCCCACACUCCUACGGGAGGCAGCAGUAGGGAAUCUUGCGCAAUGGGCGAAAGCCUGACGCAGCCAUGCCGCGUGUAUGAUGAAGGUCUUAGGAUUGUAAAAUACUUUCACCGGGGAAGAUAAUGACGGUACCCGGAGAAGAAGCCCCGGCUAACUUCGUGCCAGCAGCCGCGGUAAUACGAAGGGGGCUAGCGUUGCUCGGAAUUACUGGGCGUAAAGGGCGCGUAKGCGGACAGUUUAGUCAGAGGUGAAAGCCCAGGGCUCAACCUUGGAAUUGCCUUUGAUACUGGCUGUCUUGAGUUCGGGAGAGGUGAGUGGAAUGCCGAGUGUAGAGGUGAAAUUCGUAGAUAUUCGGCGGAACACCAGUGGCGAAGGCGACUCACUGGCCCGAUACUGACGCUGAGGCGCGAAAGCGUGGGGAGCAAACAGGAUUAGAUACCCUGGUAGUCCACGCUGUAAACGAUGAGUGCUAGUUGUCGGCAUGCAUGCAUGUCGGUGACGCAGCU
rnacentral:rRNA from 1 species